AAUAUGGGACAAUGGGGGCAACCCUGAUCCAGCAAUGCCGCGUGUGUGAAGAAGGUCUUCGGAUUGUAAAGCACUUUAAGUUGGGAGGAAGGGCUUUAGGUUAAUACCCUGAAGUUUUGACGUUACGAACAGAAUAAGCACAGGCUAACUCUGUGCCAGCAUCCGCGGUAAUACAGAGGGUGCAAACGUUAAUCGGAAUUACUGGGCGUAAAGCGCGCGUAGGUGGUUCAGUUAGGUGAGUGUGAAAACCCCGGGGCUAACCUGGGAACUGGUUGCAUAACUGCUGAGCUAGAGUUCGGUAGAGGGUAGUGGAAUUUCCAGUGUAGCGGUGAAAUGCGUAAAUAUAGGAAGGAAAAACAGUGGCGAAGGCGACUACCUGGACUGAUACUGACACUGAGGUGCGAAAGCGUGGGGAGCAAA
rnacentral:rRNA from 1 species